rnacentral:rRNA from 1 species
CCUACGGGAGGCAGCAGUGGGGGAUAUUGCACAAUGGGGGAAACCCUGAUGCAGCGACGCCGCGUGUAGGAAGACGGUCCUCUGGAUUGUAAACCACUGUCCCCAGGUACGAAGUUGACGGUACCUGGGGAUGAAGCUCCGGCUAACUACGUGCCAGCAGCCGCGGUAAUACGUAGGCAGCAAGCGUUGUCCGGAAUUAAUGGGUGUAAAGCGAACGUAGGCGGGAUGGCAAGUUGGGUGUUAAAUCUACCGGCUCAACUGGUAGUCGCACUCAAAACUGCUAUUCUUGAGUGAAGUAGAGGAAGGCGGAAUGCCUAGUGUAGCGGUGAAAUGCGUAGAUAUUAGGAGGAACACCAGUGGCGAAGGCGGCCUGCUGGGCUUUUACUGACGCUGAGGCUCGAAAGUGUGGGGAGCAAACAGGAUUAGAUACCCUUGUAGUC